rnacentral:rRNA from 1 species
AUGGUAGGAUAGAGGCCUACCAUGGUUUUAACGGGUAACGGGGAAUUAGGGUUCGAUUCCGGAGAGGGAGCCUGAGAAACGGCUACCACAUCCAAGGAAGGCAGCAGGCGCGCAAAUUACCCAAUCCCGACACGGGGAGGUAGUGACAAUAAAUAACAAUAUGGGGCUCUUACGAGUCUUGUAAUUGGAAUGAGUACAAUUUAAAUCUCUUAACGAGGAACAAUUGGAGGGCAAGUCUGGUGCCAGCAGCCGCGGUAAUUCCAGCUCCAAUAGCGUAUAUUAAAGUUGUUGCAGUUAAAAAGCUCGUAGUUGAAUUUCGGGAUUUAUCCGUCGGUCGGGCUUUUGGGUCUGUACUGGCGUGAUGGAUUCCUACCUUCUGAAUAACCGGCAUGUCAUUAAUUUGGUGCGCCGGGGAAGCAGGACUGUUACCUUGAAAAAAUUAGAGUGCUUAAAGCAGGCUUAUGCCUGAAUACAUUAGCAUGGAAUAAUGAAAUAGGACGGCAUGGUUCUAUUUUGUUGGUUUCUAGGAUCACCGUAAUGAUUAAUAGGGAUAGUUGGGGGCAUUAGUAUUCAAUUGUCAGAGGUGAAAUUCUUGGAUUUAUUGAAGACUAACUUCUGCGAAAGCAUUUGCCAAGGAUGUUUUCAUUAAUCAAGAACGAAAGUUAGGGGAUCGAAGACGAUCAGAUACCGUCGUAGUCUUAACCAUAAACUAUGCCGACUAGGGAUCGGACGAUGUUAAUUUUUUAAUGACUCGUUCGGCGCCUUACGGGAAACCAAAGUGUUUGGG